UCGAAGUUUUCAAGUUCCACCCGUGCACUGUUUCCUGUUCUCCCACGCUUGCAUUGAGAUGAUUUUGCAGCACUCUUUCAAAGCCAAAGCUUCCAAAAGGUGUGAUUUCACCCCCUCAGUUCAAAGAUGGAAUCUACCGUGGGAGGACAAGGUUAUGGUCAACCUUGAUACUGCCAUCUUCUUACAAUCUGAAUAUAUUGGUGCUGGUGUUGUACUUUUGUGUCCCGUGAUCACUUCUAUGAGAAUGUGUGAUCACUUCUAUGAGAAUGUUUGCGAUCCUGAACCCGCUGAAGUAAUGGCCACUCGAUGUUCUUUUAUCCUGUUCUCUUGUUGAUGGUAUUCAGAGGAAUAUCUUAGCUUGUGAUUGUUCAUCUCUGGUGUCCAAGCUGAAUGCCUCUGAAGCUGAACGAUUGGCUACUGGCGCUGUCGCCCAUGACAUCAAGUUAUUACCGUUGUUGAAGUUUGUUUCAGUUUCCUUUAUUCAUGUUAGUCGAGCAUAUUAAUAGGGCGGCUCAUGCUAUCACGUGAUCUGCGGAGCAUGUUGUCGUAGGUGCUUGGUAUGUCGAAGCUCCGGAUUUCAUCGGAGCGGUACUUUGUAAUGAACUUGUUGUGAUUUAAUCAAUGAAGCGCCGCCCAUUGCCUAAAAAAACUUGCUAAAGUAUUGAG
rnacentral:lncRNA from 1 species